UUUCUUCUGUGAGAGUAUGAUGAAGGUUAUAGCCAGAGUGGCUUGGAGGAACCCAUAUGAAAUUGCAAUAAAGAGAUUAUUAUGAGGCAACUGCUUUCCAGUCUCUUGACAAUAUCUGAAUGUGGUGUUGUUGUUAGUUGUUAGUCCAUCAUUUUCUAAGAGGACCAAGGGCAUUGUGGAAUGAUGUCUUGACAGGUGUGAAUUGGAUUGAAGUGAGGCAGAGUUGCUCUACAUCUUCUCUCUUCUAGUAGUCCAAGUCCAGUGGCAGGACAAAAAUCAGGGCAACUGGUGAUGAAUUAUAGAGCGUGCUUGUGAAUAAUAACCGGCAGCACUUUGGUUUGAUGAUUGGGAAAUAUUCAUCACACUUCCAUCAGAGCCUGGUAGGCUGCUUCAAAGACUAAACGGAGAAAGGAAGAAGAGCCAAGGGAAAAGACUGAGAAGUAACAAAGAAGUAGGAGGGAAAUGACACUUAAGGAUAACAGAAGAAAAGGAAUGAUUAAGUUUCAAGAAGAAGGGCAUGGUCCAUAGUGUUAAAUUGUGCAGAGAUGCUGAGGAGAAUGAGAACUGAAAAAAGACUACUGGAUGUCGCAGUUAAGAAGUCCCCGGAAAGCUUGGUAAAAAAAUCGUUUCAGGAGAGUGAUGGUAAUGAAAGCCAAGGUCAGAAGGAAGAGUAAUAGUGAGGAAAUGAAGACAGCAACAGCACUCCUUAGAGAAGUUUUAUUGUGAAAGAACAUGAAAAUGGCACUGUGGUGUAGCAAACAGAAUACUGGGCUUAGAGUAAAAAAAUACCUGGGUUCAUAUUGUGCCUCUAAUACUGGCUGCAUUAGUACAGUCAAGUCACUUUAAACUCUCUGAGCCUCAGUUUUCUCAUCUAUAAAAUAUACAUCAUAAAUUUGGAAGCACUUACUUGGCAGAGUUGUUGUGAGACUCUAAUUAGAUAAUCAUAAUAAUGUGCUUUAAAACCUUUAAAAGCAUAAAUAUCACCUAAUAUUUUUCCAGUGUCUUAUGUUAGUUUUCAGUUGUUUCAUUCAUGACCAACUCUGACUCAUUUGAGGUUUCAUAGGCAAAGGUACUGGAGUGGUUUGCCACUUUCUUUUUUAGCUCAUUUUAUAUACAGGGAAACCUAGGCAAACAGAGUUAGUUGACUUGCCCAGGGUCACACAGCCAAUAUAUGUCUGAGUUCAUAUUUGAACUCAGGAAGAUGAAUCUUCCUGACUCUAGACCUGAAUUCUAUCUAUUGCACCACCUAGCUGUCCCAAUGCCUUAUACAGAGUAGGUUUUUGAUAAAUGUUUGUUGAAUUUUUCAUUUGAAUUGGAUCUCCUAUUGUGUGCCUUUCCAUGAACUCUCUCUUCUGUGUUAAGGGUUGUAAAGAUGAAAUAAGGCAUGACUCCUGGAGCCCAUACUCAUGGUAGGGACACAAGACUCAUGAACAUGAAACAAUAAGAAAACAUUAGGCAACUAGGAGGUUUAUUGGAUAGAGCACCAGACCUGGAAAUAGGAGGUCCUGUAUUCAAAUUUGACCUCAGACACUUCUUAGCUCUAUAAUCCUGGACUUAACCCCAAUUGCCUAGCCCUUACUACUUUUCUGGUUUGGCAUCCAUAUUUAGUAUUGCUUCUAAGACAGACAGGGGGAGAGAGACACAGAGAGAGAGACAGAGAGAGACAGAAAGACAGAGAUAGAGAGACAGAGACAGACAGAGACAGACAGAGAGACACACACAGAGACAGAGACACAGAGAGAGAGAGACAGAGACACAGAGGGGGGAAAGGGAGAGAGGAGAAGAAGAAGAAGAAGAAGAAGAAGAAGAAGAAGAAGAAGAAGAAGAAGAAGAAGAAGAAGAAGAAGAAGAAGAAGAAGAAGAAGAAGAAGAAGAAGAAGAAGAAGAAGAAGAAGAAGAAGAAGAAGAAGAAGAAGAAGAAGAAGAAGAAGAAGAAGAAGAAGAAGAAGAAGAAGAAGAAGAAGAAGAAGAAGAAGAAGAGAAAAGAAAAGGGGGGCAGCUGGGUAGUUCAGUGGCUUGAGAGCCAGACCUAGAGACAGGAGGUCCUAGGUUCAAAUUUGAUCUCAGACACUUCCCAGCUGUAUGACUCUGGGCAAGUCACUUGAUCCCCAUUGCCUAGUCCUUACUACUCUUCUGCCUUGGGAACCAAUGCACAGAAUUGAUUCUAAGAUGGAAGGUAAGGUUUAAAAAAAAAUAAAAAAAAUAAAAACAUGUCAAACAAUGGGUUGGGCCAGAGAUCCAUGGUUUGAUAAAAAUGUCCAUAUAUUGCUCUGUUCUAUGAAUUCACUUGACAAGAAAAAAGAGAUAGCUUACAGGGAUUGUAGAAGCAGUCAAGAUAAUUUUAUAGAAUCACAGAAUUAUAGAGUAACAGAGUUGGUAGUCAACUCCAAAGCCAUCUUGUUCAAGAUAUACUGGAAAAAGAAUCCCUUCUUCAAUGAAGUAGAAAUGACUACCUGCUUGUGUGAGCCUUUUGUAUAGCUCUGUUAAGAAGCUUUCCUUGUGUAGCACCUAAAUCUAUAUUAUUGGCAUUUUAAAAAAUGUUUGAGUUUCAAAUUCUCUUCCUUUCUCUCUCUCUCCUUUUCUUUCCCCCUCCCUGAGAUGGUAAGCAAUCUGAUAUUGAUUUUACAUGUGCAUUCAUAUAAAACAUUUUUUUUUAUUUUAGUCAUUUUGUAGAAGAAAACUGGAACCAAAAAAACAAAGAAAAUGAAAUACAGAAUGUUUGGGUCUGCAUUUCAAACUCCAUCACUGUUUUCUCUGGAAAUGGAUGAUAUUUUUCAUCAUGAGUUUUUGGGAUUGUAUUGAAUCCCUGUAUUGCUGAGAACAAUUAGGUCACUCACAGUUGUUCAUCAAACAAUAUUGAUAUUGCUAUAUACAGUGUUCUACGCCUGUUCUCUUUACUUUGUAUCAGUUCAUGUAAAUUCUUCCAGGUUUCUCUGAAAUUGCCCUGCAAGUCAUUUCUUACAGCACAACAGUAUUUCAUUACAAUCAUAUGCCAUGAUUUGUUCAGUCAUUCCCCAGUUGAUAGUUAUCCAUUAUGAGCAUUUCUAUCCAUGGCCUUCGAGAGCCAUGGAGAACAAGUCUGCUCUUUCGUGGGACUGAUAAACCUGAUAGUAUUGGAAGGCAACGUUGUUUACUCUAAUACCACGGAAGGCAGUGAGCCUCCGUUAUAUGUCAGCACUUUUCAGUGAAUCUUGAGGCUCAGAGUACUUUGACUUUUUCAUUGUUUAGCUUUCUAUCCUAAGAAGCUUCCAGGAGAAACAAAUUAAUUCAGGCUGAUUAUCAAAUGCUUUUCAAAAGUGGUAAGAAUGGAACUAGUUGUUUCUGACAUGGGCCCUAAACCAAGAGGUAGAGGUACCUGGAGAGUGAACAUUCUACUUCCCAUUUGAGAAGGGGGCAGUAUCAAAAACAAAAGAGGGAGUGAAACAAGCAGAACCAAGAGAACAUUAUGUACAGCAACAAAAUAUUCUUUGAAGAAUGGCUUGUGUCUACCUCCAGAAAAAGAACCAAUAAAUAGAAAUAAGGAAAACAGUUUUAUAUAUACAUAUCUCUUUUUGUCAAAGGAUGCUGCCUCUGAUGGGGGGGGGAGUUAACUAAAUAUCUCAAUAUUUUAAAUGUUACAAACAAACAAAUGAAUAUUUUUUUAAAACUGAGAAGCAUAUAUUGCACCAUUGGCUGUGGGAAGAGUGGGUGGAGGGGAGGGAGGGAAACAAUGUGAUUAUUGUAACCAAGGAAUAAUGUUCUAAAUUGACUAAAUAAAUUUAUUCAAAUGGAAAAAAUAAUGGAAAAAACCUGAGAAGCAUAUAAAAGGAUUAGGAAGUAGAACCUGAAGAGAUAGGCUCAAAAAGGAGAAGAUAGUUGGCAAAGCAAAUAAGAAAAGGUAAAGUACCUGUAAGAGUAAAAAGGUAAAAGGUAAGUAACAAGGAGAGAGUAAAGCAAAUUGGUAGAGCGGUUUGGUGAAUGGGACAAGUUGGUGGAACAAGAGAUUGAUAUAAGAGGAAGCAGUUGUGGCUGCAAAAUUACUAUUGAUUCUAAGGAAAGGAAGUUGACUGAGACUUUCAAGUUAUUACGAGCAAUAAAUUAUGUAAAUAUUUUAACCAGGUGCUUAGGAUUUAAGCUACAGUAGUUAAAGAAAAAAAGCUGAAAAUCACAACCAGCAUGGAGAGUAGGGGAAAUUGUACAAUGAUUUGAAUCCUGUACGUGAUGUUUUUAUUCCUGUUUCUGCUAUAACUGAGUGACUAUUAUUUUUGUUCCAAGUGUAGGCUGAACUCUCUCCUUAUGGAGGAGAGGAAGGGAUUCCACGCUCCAAGUUGUUCGGGAGAAAUGUGUUUCCAAAGGAAAUGGAAGCACAUUUUCAAUGAGGAAAAAGAAGGGAUUUGAGGUGGUAGAGGAAAGAGAUGAUCCUCAUCAGGAUGUUGAAGAGCAGAAAAGAGGAGGAAGGGAGGGGAAAAGACAGCUGCAUGAUUAGAGAUUAAAAACAGAUUUGAGUCGCUUCCUAGAGAUGAGGGUACUGGAUGUUUGUAGGAGAAAGAAGCUGAUUAUGCUCCAAAGAAUAAUAUAGUAGUACCACAGAAGUCCUCAGGGGAAAGAUCCUCUAGAAAAUAUCAGAGACAGAAGAGAAGGCAAAUGAUAGUUGGGAAUUCCAUGCUCAGGGGGAUGGAGGCAACUAACAUCAACCUGAAAACAAUAGUCUGUUGUCUUCCCAGGGCAUGUAUCCAAGACAUAAAAGAGAAACUCCCAAGACUUAUCAAAACAGAUGACAACUACCCACUACUGAUGAUUCAUGUGGGCACGAAUAUCUCUGCCAGAAGGAACUAAAGAAGUAUUGCCAACGAUUAAGUCUCAGGCAAAAAACUGAAGACCAAAGGGACCCAGGUUGUGUUUUCUUCACAGUUGCCCAUUGAAGACACAAGAUGCCAAAGAGAAAAAAUAAUUUGGUAAGUGGGCAGCUGGCUAAGAAAGUGGUGCUGGAGAAUGGGAUUUAGAUUUCUGGUCCAUGCCUUAAAAAUAGGGGUUCCUAUUCCUAGCCAGAGAUAGAGUGCAUCAGUGAAGGCUGAGUGCAUUUGCUGAAUGUUUUGCAUCUAUAAUCAAAAGGUAAUUAAACUAAAAAAAAUGAGGAACAGAGAAAACAGUUUAUAUAUAUAUAUAUAUAUAUAUAUAUAUAUAUAUAUACCCAAGUUAGAAACCACUCAGUUCAGUCAUUUUUCAGUUUUGUCCUACUCUUCAUGAACACAUUUAGGAUUUCCUUAGCAAAGAUACUGGGAUGGUUUGCUAUAUCUUUCUCUAGCUCAUUUUAAAGAUGAAGCAACUGAGGCAAACAGGAUUAAGUGACUUGCCCAGGGUCACACAGCUAGUAAGUAUCUGAGGCAUGUGAAGUCAGGAAGAUAGUCUUUCUUAUUCCAAGCCCAAGCUCUCUCCAUUGUGUCACCUAACUGCUCCCUCUAGAGAGUACCAAAGAAAAAAGGAAGAAAAAUUACUGUUGAGACACAAUUUACAAAAGACAAAAUUCAAGAAAGGAGCCAGCAGCAAAAUCUAUGACCUCAAAUAUCCAUAAAUAAAUAAACAAAAUUUAGGUAGAAAACAGGGAGGACUAAAGGUCUUAAUACAAGAAGCUAAAUUUGACCUCAGAGGUAUCAUUGAGGCUUAGUGAGGUGAAACUUAUAAUUGAACUGUGAAUCUGGCUGGGUGUUCAGAGUUUUUUGCUUCAUUCAAAACAUACAGAGUAUGUCUUUAAAGAAAAAAAUAGAAUGAAUGAACCCUUUGUAUUUAGAAAAUAUAUUCGUGUAAGGAAAUAUAGAAACUAGAGGGAAGACACAUGGUAUGCAGCACUUGGUGGAAGUUAGAGGGAGAAACAAUUUGUCAUUGGAGUAUAAUACAGAUUACCUGGACAGAAAGAGGAAACAGAUGAAGAAUUUGGAAAAUAUCAUAAGAUUGUCACAGAGGAGCUAUAAGAAGUGAUGAGAUAUUUAAAUGAUCUAGACUAUUUCUGUACUUCUUUUUCUUCUUCUUCUUCUUUGUCUCUGUCUCUGUCUCUCUCCCCCCAAAAUAAAGUAACUAAAGCUUUCUUCGCUUGUCUUAGUGAUAAUUUUCAACCUUUGAAAAACUCAGGAACCAAGAAGGAACCAAUUUAUUCUAGAUUAGAUUCUUCUAAUAGAGAAGAAUUAGUUGCUAGAAUAGAAAUGAUGGAAACCCUAGAUCGAUGUGAUUACUUUCUCUAAGAAUUUGUCAUUAAAAAGGUUGGACUAUCUGGGCAUAAUCUGACAUGCAUUCUAGACUUGAAAAAAGCAGACUUCAAAUGAUUAAGAGGAACUAUACAAAGGAUCUCAUAGACUAAAAACACUACAGGGAAAGUCAUCCCAUCAAGCAUAGGAGAUGCUCAAUACUGAAAUGGCUAAAAACUAAAAGGAAACAAUUACAUUGAGGAGGGGAAAUGAGAUUUUUCUGAAGAUUGUUGUAGAUACACAGGGACCUCACCCACCAACUUGGACUUAAAAAAGAAAUGUAUAAAUGAAGGGCAGGUAAUAGAGGAUGAAUAUAAGUGCUUGGCACAGUCCUGUAAAAAGAAUGCCAAUUGUGGAUACUAAAGUUCAGAAAGAUCACUGGUUGGUAAGAAAAGCUGAGGAUGAUCAAAUGGAGAUUUUGGAGAAUUUUUUAAAGGCUAUAUUGGGAGGGGGAGAGGAUUAAAGAAGACAUAAGACCUUUGUUUGGGGUGAACAGAAUGAUAACUGACACAGAAAGAAGUAGAGCUCCUUCUGUUUCUGUUUCCAAGGAGAAUGACCUUUAUGCUAUAAAUGACAAUAAAACUGACUAGCACAGAGUUGAUACACAAGCAAGGAGAUAGAUUAGAAAGCCUGGAGGAAGCACAGAGCCAGCUUUGAUAAAUUUCUGUCAUCUGGUCCAGAUGACCAUCAUUCUUGGACCCUGAAAGAACUUAUAGAUGGGAUUGUUUAACCACCUACAGUGAUAUUUGAAAGAUCGUGAAAAACAGGAGAGGUGUCACAAGUUUGGAGAAGAGUAGAUGUCUCAAUUAAAAAAAAAAAGGAAGAGAACAGAGUCUGCAAACCAUAGGACAGUCAGCUUGGGAAUUUCUGAAAGGAUCAUUAGAGAUCAUUCUUGAGUAUAUUGAAAGGAGAGUGGGGACAGCAUGACUUCAACAAGCACAACUCUUGUCUUAUCUAAUUCUCCUUGUUUGUCAGGAUCACUACUAAUAAAUGAGAGAAAUGCAAUAGUACCCAGCUUUUAUCAAAGCUUUUGGCAAGCUAUUGCAUGCUCUUCUUAUGGAGAAGAUAGAAUGAUAAAACAAUUAGAGGACUAUGGCAUGGAUUGGACAGCCAAGCUCAAAUAUUAAUUUUUAAUGGAUCAAUGCCAACAUGGCAGAAGGUCUUCAAGAGAGUACCUCAGUCAUCAGUACAUGGCCCUGGGGUGUAUAACAUUUUUAUCAGUGACUUGAUAAAGGGAUAGAUGGCAUGCUCAUCAGAUCUGCAGAUGACACAAAGCUAGAAAGGAUGACAGUCCAAAAGGAUCUUACCUGUCUAGAACAUUGAUUCUAUAUUUAUCCCUACUGAAUUCCAUCUUAUUAGAGAUUUAUAGUUGACAAAGAAUUAGAAACUGAAGGGCUAUCCAUCAGUUGGGGGAUGACUGAAGAAGUUGUGGUGUAUGAUUGUAAUGGAAUACUACUGUGCUGUAAGAAAUGAUGAGAAGGAUGAUUUGAGAAAAACCUGGAAAGACCUCCAUGAACUGAUACAAAGUGAAGUGAGCAGAACCAGAGAACAUUGUACACAGUGACGGCAAUAUUAUAUGAAGAACAUUAUGAAUGUCUUAGCUAUUCUUAGUAAUACAGUGACCCAAGCCAAUCCUCAAGGACUCAUGAUGAAAAACUCCAUCUGCCUCCAGAGAAAGAACCGAUGGAAUCUGAAUGAAGACUGAGACAUACUCACUUUCUUUCUUCCCUGUUUGUUUGAAUUCUAGUUCACAAAAUGACUAAUAUAGAAAGUUAUUUUAUACUCUUAAACAUGUAAAAUCUAUAUCAAAUUGUUUACUGUCUCAGGGAAGAGGGAGGAAGGCAGGGAGAGUGAGAAAAUGGCUCAAACUUUUUAAAAAAUGAAGGUUAAAAUAGUUUUCAUGUUUUGAGAAAAAAUUAAAUAGUAUUAAAACAAUAUUUCUAGUUAUGCUGGAAAAUAAUCAGGUCAGCAAAGUAGUACAAUGGACAGAGUGCUGGGCUUGGAGUCAGAAAGACGAAUUCAAAUCCAUCCUCAGAUGCUUACUAGCUACGUGACCCUGGAUAAAUCACUUAACUUUGUUUGCCUCAGUUUUCCUCUGUAAAAUGGUUUGCAGAAGGAAAUGGCAAGUGCCUUCAGUAUCUUUGCUAAAAAGAUCCCAAAUAGAGUCACAAAGAGGUGGACAUGACUGAAAUGACAGAACAACAAAAAGGGGGAAGAAUUAAUUACACAACUCCACAGUGAGGAAGACAUAGCUAGUACUUUGUCUGAAAAAAGAUGGGGUGGUUUUAGGGGCCCACAAGCUCAAUGUGAGUCAGUCAUAUGAUGUGAGUGCAAAGACAAAACAAAGAAGACGUAACACCCUAGUGCAAUGUGGAUGGCCAUAAGAGAAGCAUUUUCCAGGAAUAAGAAAAUAAUAUUCUCACUGUACUAGGUCCUCACUGGAUUCCAUCUGGAAUGCUAUGUUCAGUUUUGGGUACCACUGUUUAAAGACCGAAAAGUUCAAGACUUAGAUUCAUGAAGAUCUCAGUUCAAAUCCUGCCUGAGACACUAGCUCUGUGUCCCUGAAGGACUUAUCCUUUCUGAACCAUAGCUUGCUCUUCUGUACAGUAGGGACAAUAAGGGUACUUAAUAAUAUACCAAAUUAAUUCCUACAUUAGAACUCUGGAUUAGAAAGACCCCAAUCAAUGAAUUAUUGUGCAUUUCUGUGUCUGGGUUCUGGGUCCUAAUCUGCUGCUUUGGGGCAUUUUCUUUGUCCUUAGGAAUCCCAAAGAAUGACUUUCCAUUCAACAGAAUUCAGUUAAGAAAUAAAGGAAACGAGGGUUCUUUUCCUGUGUAAUGUCCCCCAUGACAUCAGGAUGAGGACUGUUAGAUAAUUUGACUACCUCCUAAUUACUAUUAGAGAUGUCUUGGGAUGUUUGAUGUAGGGGCUGACUAAUGAGCUUCGAAAACUAUUUGUUGGGGGCAGCUGGGUGGCUCAGUGGAUUGAGAGCCAGGCCUAGAGACGGGAGGUCCUGGGUUCAAAUCUGGCCUCAGAUACUUCCUAGCUAUAUGACCCUGGGCAAGUCACUUAGCCCUCAUUGCCUAGCCCUUACCACUCUUCUGCCUUGGAACCAACAUACAGUAUUGAUUCUAAGAUGGAAGGUAAGGGUUUAAAAAAAUAAUAGCUAUUUAUUGAGGUGCCUAACCCAGCUUUGGGGUCUCUGGUCAUUCGAGAGGGCCAUCAGCCUAUGUCAUUUUAUUGAUUACGAUGAGGGCCUAAUCAAUAAACUGAUAUAACCAAUAAACUGAUAUUCUUCCCCCCAGAUCCAUUUCUCAAGAUAAUUUUAAUCUUAACCCUUCACAGGACUGUUGUGAAGAUCAAACGAGACAGCCCAUAUUAAGCGCAUUGCAAACUUUAGCACACUAGUUGUUAUUAUCGUUUCUAGAAGACAGAGCGUCCCGUUUCAAUGAGGCAUAGAAGCCGGACUUUUGUUCUGACCCCAUCAUGCUCCCUUCCGGGGCGGGGUGGGGGUGGGGGAGGAGAUAAUGGUCAAUUUCUUCUCCCAAAGUCUCUGGCGACACUUUCACUGUCUUCAUACACUACAAGUUCUUUGAGGAUCCCCGUUUGCUGCUUACCAAUGAAAUUAAUAUGACUCUUUUAUCCUCCUCACGUUCCAGAUUCAAUCUGUGUUUUUUCAUCAGUAGAUUUGUGUUUAGUUGAUUAGUUAUUCAUGUAUAAUGCAGGAUGACAAGAGCAGCAAUACAGAGGGGUGAUUAUGGGGAACACAGCUUUAAAAGCGUUCGGGAUUUUUUGGCAGACAGGUUAGUCCAUUGUAAAUGGGACAAAGUUUUCUCCUUACCCACUCUUGGGCUAAAGCUAAAUGACAGAGAUUAGAAGAAAGGGUUCAGAUAUCCGCUCAGUGGCCCCCAAUCCCUCUCCUUUGCUCUGUAUAGAAAACAUCUCCCACAGAUCAUUCGUCUUCUUAACGCAUCAUGUCCCUAUGGAUUAAGCAGAGCAAAGGUGAGUCCUGAGAUCAGGAAAUCUCGCCCUACCACCACCACCAAAAUUGUAAAAGUGAAUGUACAGGCCUGGAGUUGGGAGAAUCUGGGUUCAAAUCUAGCCUUAGAUACUUCCUAGCUGAGUGACCUUGGGCAAGUCACUUAACCAAUUGCCUGGCUCUUGCCACUCUUCUGCCUUAGAAUGGAUACUACGAAAGAAAGUAAGGGUUGGGGGGACCCUUAAUGUAAAUAAGGGGGGAUUAUACAAAUUACAAGACAAUUUGUACAUUUAACAAAGGUUUGCUUACGUUUGAUCACCCCCUUCUCCCAAUCCCCCACCCCAUUCCAGCUGUAUUUAAGCACUUGAUAAUAAAGUCAUGGGACAGUGAGGUGGCAUGGUGGAUAGUGCUGUGCCUGGAGUCAGGAAGACUCAUCUACUCAAGUUUUAAUCUGUCCUCAGAUACUGACUAUCUCUGUAACCCUGUGCAAGUGAUUUUACUUUGUUGGCCUCAGUUUCCUCAUCUGCAAAAUAAGCUGGAGAAAGAAAUGGUAAACGAUUCCAGCAUCUUUACCAAGAAAACCCCAAAUGGAGUUAUGAAGAGUCGGAAAUGACUGAAUUGAAUGAACAAUAACAAAAAUAAAAUCAUAGGAUCAUAGAAUGGUAGAGUUGUGAAGGAUCUAGGGAGGCAACUUAGCAUAUGGAAUAUAGAGGUUUGAAUACAAAGUCAGAGGACCUGGGUUCAAAUUUUGCUUCCAUCACUUACUACCCCUGUAACUUUGGACAAUUAUUUCAACUCUUAGGAUCCUGUUUCUUCUGUAAAAAAAAAAGUUUAGACUAGAGAGACAGUCUCUUCUAGCUCUUGAUCAUUGAUCCUUAUGAUCUCAGAGAACAUCUGUUCUAAUAAUCUCAUUUUGCAGAUGAGAAAGCCCAGGCUUAUAGAGUUUAUGUGACCUACCCAAGGUCACACAGCUAAUAAGUAUUAAAGCUAAGGCUAGAGCACAGCUGAUUUCAAGUCCAUUGCAUUUUGUGAACAAAAAUUUCAAGCUAACCUGCUAGAAGUCACAGUUAAUGAAACAUGAUGAGAAAUAAUAGUUCUGAAAUUACAAUAGGAAACAAUGGGAUUUAUAAAUAUUCACUUUACAAGCCCCUUUUUCAGGAACACUUUCAUCAUCUGAAACAGUAAAUGAAAAAGUGGGGGUCCAUGGUCUCCAGUCUGGAGUGGGUAUAGAGGUGGGAAUGGGUAAUGGCCAAUUUUAACAUAUGUGAUGAACCAAUUGAAUGAAAGGUGAAAAGAUGGAUUGCAUCCAGUGGUGUGCUAGAGUCGGCUUGUACCAGCUGGGCUUUAAGAGCCUGUAGAAAUUUAAAUUGUUAAAUUUUCAGUGUGAGCAUUUACACCUCAGAAAUUGGCAAAUGCUACAAAUCAGGGCUUGAUUUCUUAUUUUGCUGAUUGUCAAAACUUUAAGAAAGUAAUGGAGAAAAUGUUAAUAUUGCAAAUCAAACUUAAAAUUAGGCACUUUUUUUUUAAAGCACAGAUUGUUAAACAUUUACUAGUACAUUGCUAUAUCCCAUUCUCCCCAUGACGACCAAUCAUGGGUCUAAUCUCUAACACAAACUUAACUGCUAUUGUCUUCCAAUCCUCCCCAACACUGUCUCCUCCCUCCUCUGUGCAACCUCCCUCAGUGUAAGCCAGAAGU